rnacentral:rRNA from 1 species
UACAGAGGUCUCAAGCGUUGUUCGGAAUCACUGGGCGUAAAGGGUGCGUAGGCCGCACGGUAAGUCAGAGGUGAAAUCCCGGAGCUCAACUUCGGAAUUGCCUCCGAUACUGCCGUGCUUGAGGACUGGAGAGGAGAUUGGAAUUCACAGUGGAGCAGUGAAAUGCGUAGAUAUUGUGAGGAACACGAGUGGCGAAGGCGAAUCUCUGGACAGUUCCUGACGCUGAGGCACGAAGGCCAGGGGAGCAAACGGG